AGCUUACCCAGUUGAGACGAUUGUGAAGUAUAGCAACAACCGAACAGUUCAGUUUCCAGCCGUGACUGUCUGCAAUCACAACAGUGUGCACUGUCAAAAUUUGAAUGCAAAGAUAGUAAGCUGCCGUAUAAGUUCCAAUUGUACGGAUUUCUGUACACUGCUCUGGUUGAUGAAAAAUACAAAUUGUGGAGAG